UAGGGAAUAUUGGGCAAUGCUCGCAAGAGUGACCCAGCCAUGCCGCGUGAAGGAUUAAGGCCCUCUGGGUUGUAAACUUCUUUUCUCAGGGGCGAAAAACCGGGAUUCAUCCCGGCCUGACGGUACCUGAGGAAUAAGCACCGGCUAACUCCGUGCCAGCAGCCGCGGUAAUACGGAGGGUGCAAGCGUUAUCCGGAAUCACUGGGUUUAAAGGGUACGUAGGCGGUUCUAUAAGUCAGUAGUGAAAGAC
rnacentral:rRNA from 1 species